AUUGAACGCUGGCGGCAGGCCUAACACAUGCAAGUCGAACGGUAACAGGAAGAGGCUUGCUUCUUUGCUGACGAGUGGCGGACGGGUGAGUAAUGUCUGGGAAACUGCCUGAUGGAGGGGGAUAACUACUGGAAACGGUGGCUAAUACCGCAUAACGUCGCAAGACCAAAGAGGGGGACCUUCGGGCCUCUUGCCAUCGGAUGUGCCCAGAUGGGAUUAGCUAGUAGGUGGGGUAACGGCUCACCUAGGCGACGAUCCCUAGCUGGUCUGAGAGGAUGACCAGCCACACUGGAACUGAGACACGGUCCAGACUCCUACGGGAGGCAGCAGUGGGGAAUAUUGCACAAUGGGCGCAAGCCUGAUGCAGCCAUGCCGCGUGUAUGAAGAAGGCCUUCGGGUUGUAAAGUACUUUCAGCGGGGAGGAAGGGAGUAAAGUUAAUACCUUGGCUCAUUGACGUUACCCGCAGAAGAAGCACCGGCUAACUCCGUG
rnacentral:rRNA from 1 species